rnacentral:rRNA from 1 species
UUUCCCUCAGGAUAGCUGGCACUCGCUCGAGCGAGUCUCAUCUGGUAAAGCGAAUGAUUAGAGGCCUUGGGGCCGAAACGACCUCAACCUAUUCUCAAACUUUAAAUGGGUGAGAUCUCUGGCUUGCUUGAACGUUGAAGCCACGAGAUUAAUUUGCAAUGGAUCAGAGUGCCAAGUGGGCCAAUUUUGGUAAGCAGAACUGGCGCUGUGGGA